UUAACUCAUAUUUGUAUGGAGUUGGAAAGUUUGCCUGCGCUUGCCGCUAGGGGCGCUGUUCUAACUGCAUACAAAUUUGAGUUA
rnacentral:pre_miRNA from 1 species